rnacentral:tRNA from 1 species
GGCGAUAUGGCCAAAUGGUAAGGCAAUAGAUUGCAAAUCUUUUACUCCCAGUUCGAAUCUGGGUAUCGUCU